AUAGUCUCGAUCACUUAAAAAAUUAUUUAAUUCAAUUAUUAUUUAUUUUACACUUUGCCUCAUCCCUCCACCACUCACACUAGAAUAUAAACUUCAUAGGGGAUGGGGAUUUUAUCUGUUUUGUUCAUUACUAUAGCACCACUGCCUAGAACUCUACUUGGCACAUAAAUAAAAUUUCAUUGGGUGAAUGAUGGGCAGGAGAGAGAUGAGUGAGAAAUGUUGAUUUCCAACACUUUGGGGGAAUGGAUUGUACUACCACUUAACCUAUUGAAUAUCAAAUUUUUUUCAAAAUAAAGAAAAAACUUAUUAAUUUGAAAGAUGAGUUAGUGCCUUCUCAUGGUAGGCCAUCAACAAAUAUUUGUUGUAUGAAAUUAGCAGAACCAGGAGAGAAAGGGGGAGGGCAUGAAUGAAUGAGUGAGUGAAUGAAUGAAUGAGAGCAUUCCACACAGUAGUUAGAGAUUUGAGUGCUCACAAAAUCAAAUAACCAAACUCUGGGCUGUUAUAUAAGCUUUGCACUUUAACCACAGGACCACUAGAGGGCAUGCAAGACUAAAUCAAGAAUGUUCUCUGCUUGAUGAGACUAUUAACGUCAUCCACAUUUCUAUUUAUUGAUCUGAUGUUCAUCUAAACUGUUUCAUCAGUUCAGAGUGUUCUCCUGAGCUAAUUUAUUUCAUCAGUCCAGUAUCUGGCUCAUAAUAGGUCUUCAAUAUUUAUAAAUUGAACGAGAAAAUUAAUAUUUAGAAUCAAGACAUUUUUCACUUUUAAAUUUGUGUUUGACUAAUUAACUGUAGUCCAUAUUUCCAUUAAAAAACUAUCUUUCAGAGUUCAUAACUGAGCUAAUAAAUGUAGCACCCACCAUCUUCGGCACUUAAAGAAUCUUUAGGCAAGCCCUGGCUGGUGUGGCUCAGUGGAUUGAGUGCCGUCCUAUGAACAAAGGGGUCACUGGUUCAAUUCCCAGUCAGGGCACAUGCCUGUACAGAUUCCCCAGGGAGCGCGAGAGGCAUCCACACAUGGACGUUUCCCUCCCUCUCUUUCUCUCUCCUUUCCCCUCUCUAAAAAUAAAUAAAAUCCUUUGUGAAAAAGAAUCCUUAGGCAAGAGGAUGGCAAGAGUCUGACAUGGAGUUUGUGGGCUUUAUUUGUGUAAGUCAUUUGACAAUAAUACACAUUGUAGUGCCUGAGCUGGGUGUCAUGAAAGGCAGGGUGGCCUUUGAUACCGCAUCAGCGGCUCCCUCUCUCAGGAGGAGCUGGUAACUGAUGAAGGAUUCGAGUCACCUGGGCUGGCUUGCCUCCCCACCCUCACCCCCAGAAUUGUUAGCUCAGCUUAUGCAAAUAGAGAUUUCGCUGCUUUUGAAAUGUGCUGUCCACAAUGUGUUUUAGAGCUGUAAGGUUGUUUAGGAUGAAGAAAGGUAAACGGGCUUUGUUUAUUGUCUUAAUCAUCAAUUGUUCCCAAUGGAAUUCUUGAAGGGAUUUUGAGUGCCUGGAUUUAUAGCUUUCCCAGCUGGAUUUCUAUAGGGGUGUGGAGUCCUUGUGCUGUUGGCAUUUGAUGUUUGAGGUUUCUGAGUGCCCUUGGUCCCCAUGAGCUGGGCCUUCACUACUAGGCAUUUUUCAUUAAUGGAAUCAUUUCAAAUAGCCUGAGAAAUAUAACUCAUGUUUAGCAAACUAUUAAUACUUUUAGAAUAGUUUUAAACUUACAGGAAAAUUGAGUAGAUCUUUCAGAGUUCCCACGUAACCCAUACCCAGUUUUCCAUAUUGUUAACAUCUUACAUGAAUAUGAUGCAUUUGUUGCAAUUAAUGAACCAAUAUAUUAUUAUUAACUACAUUUCAUAGUUUAUUCAGAUGUCCUUAGUUCUUUCCUAAUGUCCUUUUCCUGUUCCAGAAUCCCAUCCAGGACACCACAUUACAGUUAGUCAUCAUGUCUCCGUAGGCUCUUGGCUGUGACGUUUUCUGACUUCCCUUGUUUUUGAUGACCUGAACAGUUUUAAGAUGUACUGGUCAUGAUACUCAGUAUUAGGUAUUUUUCAGCCUAUUAUCUGUAUUUUAAUGUGUGGUGGUUUUUUUUGGUUUUUUGGGUUUUUUUGUCUACUGAAUGGAGUCAUUUCAAAUAGCCUGAGGAACACAACCCAUCUUUAUUGCUCCUCCUGGCACCUGUUCUGAUAAUAAAUCUGAAUGGUUUCUGAAGCUAGUUCUUGCUAGAGGAGAGCAGUGUCUGUUUAUUGUUCAUAGUCACCAGACCCAUGUGGGUAUCAGUUUAGGAAACUUAAAUGGAAAUUGAAGGUACAAAUUCAAAGUACAUAUCUAGAAUUAAUUGGUUUUACUUUAUAUUUUUUUCUAACAUCUGAACUUUACUGAGAGUCUUCAUUUUCAGUUUUACCAUUUAAAUAUAAGAACCAAGAGCUCUGUGAAGGGGAAGAGGAAUGAAUGAGAGUUGGAUAGAGCCCAUUUAAUUUUCUACCCCAACCUGUCUUUACUAUAAACUGCGUUAUCAUCAAGAUAAAACUCAGCUCUCUUUUUUCCAACAUAUUUUAAAACACUUAAUAUAACUAUGCAUACAUUGAUAUACAGUUGCUACCACUAAAUUUAUUUGAAAUGCUGCUAGGCUACAUUCACUUUCUGACAGGUCUUUGUUAGAAUUUAGUGGAUGUUUCUUCUGAAAAUCUUUAGUUUCCAUGCCUUUUAUGUAUUACCUUUGGGAUUUAAUAAAAAUGGCUCUUUAAACUCUUCUGGAGACUGGGGGCAAAUUAAGAUAAGGUAUAAACUGAGAGGAAUUAAAAUCAUUAAUCUUGUCCCAUGUACUUUAAUGUAGCAGUAAUAAUAAAUUAUACAAGGUGGAUUGAGUUAGGUGGUAAUUAUGGACUUUAUUCCAGACAACUAACAAAGCCUCUCUAAGUGAUUCUUAAAGCUUCCCUUCAGUGGUGUCUUGAAGGUUGUUAAGCUCUUAUUAAUGUCUUGACCAGGAAUCCCUAGCUGUGAAUUUCUGAUCAGAGAGAUGUACAUCCACAAAGAAGUUACCCCGAAUGACUUGAGAGACUUCUGUUUUCCCUCCAAGGCUUAUUUCAUAUGAAUAUUACCAAUUUUUACUAAAAUUUUCUCAGAAAUAUAUGUAAAUCACAGGAAGUGUGGUGUAAAUAGUUGGAAUUCAAGCCAUUCACAUGAAAGAAAAUUAAUUAUUGAGAAUAAUGGUACAUAUUAUGGACUUUUAAACCCGUUCAGGUAAAUAAAGUGUCCUCUUCCUACCUUACCAGAUGGCAACUUUGGAAAGACACAAUGUCGAAUGUACGUCAUGGAGAAUGAAUGAUUUAUCUGUGUUAGUACUCAGGUACAUUUUUGUUUCUGAUAAAGGUCUGUUUUCUCACAGGCAGCAUCAGUGCCUAGUUAGCUGAGGCAGUUAGUUUAGAAUACAGUACUAAUAAGGCCUACACCAUGAUUUCUGUCCUUGUACAAACCAGUUAGUUUUUGCUGAUUCUAAUGUUAUUGACUACAGCAUUUACCUUGGCCAGCCAUCUCUUCCAAAGUAUAUCCUCUGUAACAAGGGAGGCCAAGUUGGGGGAUGCAGAUUGGCAAGUGUAAAUCUUUACUACCUUUUGGGGGAAAAAAAACCCCAGCCCAAAGCCCCUUUCUCUUGGUGCAGGGUCAAGUACAUCAUUUUCACAAGUUUGCCCCAUUGUGUUGUUAUGAGCACCCUAAACUGCAAAACUAUGUCCAUGGCCUUCUCUGUUUUAUAUUCUAUUAGCUCAGGAAAGAUUUUCAUUCCAUUGAGCACCAGACUGUGGGGUAUAUUUUUGGAAGCAAGUGUAGGUGUACCAGAGCCAAAAAAGGUUGGGAACAACUGUAGACAAACUGAUCUCACUGUUCUUAGAGCUGCCAACUCUAGGCACGGAGCCCUUAAAGUGGACUAUAAAUGUAGAGUGGGUGGUUAAAAGAAAAUCCAUUAUGUGGGACUAAUUUCUGGUUUCCCACAAUCAGGUGCAUGUAUUUUGUGUGCAUGUUUUAUGGGGAGAGAGCAGGUGUGCACGAAGCUGAUUUAUUUAGCUAUAUUAAAUUAGAAUUGGGUCUUAAUGAGAGAAAAAUAUGAGUUGGAGAAUUAGGAUGGUUAGUACUUUGAAUUUUUUUAAAUGCCUGUAUUUAAACUCCUGUGAAGGAGGUAGAUAAGGUAGGAACUUGUUGCUAAGUUGAAAAACUGAAGCAGAGAGACCUAGGUGUCCUGGUUCCUACCCCAUGUUCUAUCAUGGGAACAUGUAAGUCUCUAAAAGGACUUGCUGAACAUAACUAUGAAAUCAAAUUGCAGAAGGAUUUCUGGUUUUCCAGUCACCCUCUUUGACAGAGGAAACAAUAGCGUUAUAAAUAACACAGAAAGUCUUGAUCUGCAAAAGUCAUUGACUCAGUUCGCACAAGAGACAGCAACGUGAAGUGGCUGCAGGAGUAGUAAGCAGAGUGUUAGGAAAUGGAGCCCAUGUUUUGUAGUAAACACGAUGAGAUUCGGACAUUAGGCAGGGAAACAUCCAAUUACAUAAUAUCUUAACCAGUCACAAGCUAUAAUGACACAAACUAGGCCUUGUUAGCUCAUUUUUCCUUCCCUAGAUCAUUAUACCCAGCAGAGAGGAAAAGAAAGCUAAUGAGUUCUAAUUGUGCUUUCAGCACUUUCUUAAAGAUCAAGUACAGGUGUGCUCCAAUUUAAGCAAGCCCAGGAAAUAAAAAAAUGCACAUUGCCAAAAGGAUAGGUACAGGGUUUGGAUGGAGAAUUCAUUUGAUAGAAGGAGUCUUCACUGUAACAGGAUUCGCCCACUGAGUUCCUUAAAUUAAUUUCUCUGUAGAACUGAAGACGUAAUUUGCAAAGAGUCAAUUAUCACAGAAAUUGUUAGGAAUAUGUCUGCUCUAAGGUUUACCUUAGUAUUACUAUUAGUUAGAUAUGUAAAUAUUUUACAAUGCAUGGUCUAUUUACUUUAUAACAUAAAUAGCAUUGCUAUUUGUUAAAUACAUACAUAUUUUACAAUAUGUAGUAAAAGAAAAGAUUUCAAAAAAAAUAUUUUCCUGAUUUUUCAUAGUACCAUAUGAGCAGUGUAGAUUUACUUGUGGGUCAUAGCAUAAAAACAGGAAUGUGGGUACUGACUAGAGAGAACGAGAGAUGUGAUGGUACUAAGAGAGGGUUAAGAUUGGAUGGGUAAGAGAUAUAAAAAGGAAAAAGCACUGACAAUUUGGGCCAUUUUCAAUUUCUGGGAAAGCCAUCUUGCGUUCUACCUCUGAUGGACCUCUCACAUAUGACAAAUUGACUUUUUCUCUCCUGUUGAUCUCUUAUAACCAUUUCAACUCUUUAACAUGGAAAUCAU